UAUUACGCACCUCAAGCGAGUUCGAGUUCACUCUCACUUGGUUAUCGUCUCCUCCAAUUUCAGACGGAAAAAUGGUCGGAGAAGCUCUGCCCGCCUCUGCUACCACUCCGUUUGCCUCAUUCAGUUUGACAGGUGCGCGUCAAUGAAUCAUAUGGUUGAAGUUCUCAAGACAAGAUUGCAGUUCUCAUGAAGCAGCCUCUGUAUUCUGACCGCAACACGAGGCUCUUAGCUCCGGACAUGAACAUGCUGCAGGACCAGCGGAUCUCCAUUGGGUCCGAUAGAAGGAUGGGAUGGUAUAGCGAUAUACUUUAAUCUGAGAUCCUUGGAGAAGGAGGGGGCUUGGAAACUUUAAAGACUUGGCUCACGGUGGAAUACCCCAUUAGCCGGUGAAGCGGGGAACC